AAAAAUAAUCAAAAGAAAUCAUAACAUAAGAAAUUCUUAUCCCUAAUCCAAAUCCAAUCCAAGAACAACUCUAAACCUGGCUCCGGAUAUCUGGAAACGCCUGUUCCCAUCACAACCCCGAAGCAGGCGACAGAUCUGGAUAGCACGGCGUUCCAGUUCCAGUCCCGGAAUGGACAUAAACGCGUUCAAGUGGUGUUCGGGUCUCAGAGUGUUGGGCUACUUCAUGAUCCUCCUCGUCGCCGCAAUCGUCUCCGUCUCCUACUACGCCGUCGUCGUCCUCACCUGGGGCCCACUGUUGCUUCGCGGUGGCCUCCGCUCCCUCUUAGCCUCCGCCAUCCUCUUCCUCUUCCAUCUCCUGCUUGCACUGUUAUCAUGGUGUUACUUUAAGGCAGUGUUUAAGGGCCCCGGUUCUGUUCCUGAAAAUUGGAGACCUGCUGUGACAGAAGAGGAGAAUUUGGAGGCUGGUGGUAGUAGUUCCAUCAUGACAUCAUCUGAUCAUGUCGCGCCUGAUGCUUUAGUUCCCACGUGGUCUUCUGAUGGACUCGAAAGAAAACAGGCUGGCUAUUGUGCCCAUUGCCAAAAUGGCAAGCCCCCACGUUGCCAUCAUUGCUCCAUUUGCCAAAGAUGUAUUCUGAAGAUGGAUCACCAUUGUGUUUGGGUUGUUAAUUGUGUUGGAGCACACAAUUAUAAGUUUUUUCUUCUUUUCCUGGUUUAUACAUUCCUGGAGACGACAAUGGAUACCUUGGUUUUGCUGCCUAAUUUUAUCCAAUUCUUUAGUGAAGCUAUGAAUCAUUCUAGCUCUCCUGGCAAUCUUGCAAUAAUUUUUUUGGCUUUUGUUCUAAAUUUAGCCUUUGCCCUGAGUCUUCUUUGUUUUAUAAUCAUGCAUGCGUCUCUUGUGUCAAGCAAUACCACGUCAGUAGAGGUUUACGAGAAGAAAAAAACAAUCAGGUGGAGGUAUGACUUGGGCAGGAAGAAGAAUUUUGAGCAGGUUUUUGGCACGAAGAAGGCGUUAUGGUUAUUACCUUUGUUUUCAAAAGAGGAUUUAGAAAACAUACCUGCACUUCAGGGUCUUGAAUUCCCAACUCGUUCAGAUGUUGAGGCUUGAGGCAUGCUGUGACAGACUGCCAUAAACUUGUUCCUGCAUUUGAUGCCUAUAUUAGGCAGUUUCAUGCUAUAUCUACUUCCAGUCUUCCACGACGCAUUAUUGAUGGAUUUUAAUUGAAUUAGGUGAGGUUUGAACCAGAUCUCUUAUGCAUUCAAACAAGUCUAUUGGCAGCCUAAACUGUAACUUUGGUGUAACUUUAAUUCAAAUGGUUGAUUGGGCAUUGCGACUUAUGGGGGUUUGCCUUUUGUGUAAAUGAAUUCUACCCCUUUAUUUGUUUUGGUGGAAAAUGUUUUAUGUGAUUAACGGAAAUCAAGUUCAACAGAGCAAAAAAACGUUUUCAGAAAA